UUCAUUUUGUUUUAGAGAUGGACAUUUGGUGAAACUCUUUGCAAAAUAUUUCCAGUAAUUUUUUAUGGCAACGUUGCAGUAUCUCUCCUGAGCAUGGUUUGUAUAACAAUAAACAGAUAUAUACUGAUUGCUUGUCACAAUUUGUAUACUAAUAUUUACAAAACAAAAUUUAUUGCUAUACAAUUAAUAUUUGUUUGGGCUGUAUCAUUCUUAUUACUU